GGCGAACGGGUGAGCAACACGUGAGUAACCUGCCCUUGACUUUGGGAUAACUUCAGGAAACUGGGGCUAAUACCGGAUAGGAGCUCCUGCUGCAUGGUGGGGGUUGGAAAGUUUCGGCGGUUGGGGAUGGACUCGCGGCUUAUCAGCUUGUUGGUGGGGUAGUGGCUUACCAAGGCUUUGACGGGUAGCCGGCCUGAGAGGGUGACCGGCCACAUUGGGACUGAGAUACGGCCCAG
rnacentral:rRNA from 1 species